GACGAACGCUGGCGGCGUGCUUAACACAUGCAAGUCGAACGGGAACCUUUAUUUCGGUAAGGGCGAGAGUGGCAAACGGGUGAGUAACACGUAGGCAACCUGCCGACAGGAUGGGGACAACAUUCCGAAAGGAAUGCUAAUACCGAAUGGAGUCCGGGGAUGGCAUCAUCCCCGGAUAAAAGAUGGCCUCUGAAUAUGCUAUCGCCUGUCGAUGGGCCUGCGUCUGAUUAGCCAGUUGGCGGGGUAACGGCCCACCAAAGCGACGAUCAGUAGCCGGUCUGAGAGGAUGAACGGCCACAUUGGGACUGAGACACGGCCCAGACUCCUACGGGAGGCAGCAGUGGGGAAUCUUCCACAAUGGCCGAAAGCCUGAUGGAGCAACGCCGCGUGAGUGAAGAAGGUCUUCGGAUCGUAAAGCUCUGUUGCACGGGACGAAAACCGGGUUUGAGAAUAUUGAACCCGGG
rnacentral:rRNA from 1 species